rnacentral:rRNA from 1 species
AUGCAGAGCGGGAGAUCAGCGCUGCCGCGCCUGAGCCCGUCGUCGAGCUCCUCAUUCCUGCGUGGGCUGGGCCUGGACAUCUCGUCAUCGUCGCCGGCGUCGAUGUCGUCAGGUCAGCAUCAACAACAGCACCACCACCACCAGGAGCCCAUGCAAAUGCAGUUCCCGGAGGGGUCGCUGCAGCAAUGGCUGCCGCGGUUGGAGCCCGAGCCAGCUCCGAUGAUGUCAACCGGGCUGGGCCCCGGGUUACCAUACGACUCUACCGGCGGUCCGAUGGGGUUGCCGGAGCUCAUGAUGGGCCAGUCAUCACUGUUCAGCGCCAAGCCGGCCACGCUGGACUUCUUGGGGCUCGGGAUGAGCCCCACCGGCCCAACGACGAGCAGGGGCCUCCCCGUGCUCAUGCAGCCCAUGGGCGGCCCGGACCGGCAGCGGGGCAGCGGAGACGUUCGGCUCCGGCCAGGGCGCUCAGGCCAAGCCGUGGGAGAGGAACCCGAGCAGCUCGCCGAUCCUGUGAAAGGACUGCUGGGCAGUAGUAACACGUAG